rnacentral:rRNA from 1 species
AUUGAACGCUGGCGGCAUGCUUUACACAUGCAAGUCGAACGGUAACAGGCCGCAAGGUGCUGACGAGUGGCGAACGGGUGAGUAAUGCAUCGGAACGUGCCCAGUCGUGGGGGAUAACUACUCGAAAGAGUAGCUAAUACCGCAUACGAUCUAUGGAUGAAAGCGGGGGACCGUAAGGCCUCGCGCGAUUGGAGCGGCCGAUGUCAGAUUAGGUAGUUGGUGGGGUAAAGGCUCACCAAGCCAACGAUCUGUAGCUGGUCUGAGAGGACGACCAGCCACACUGGGACUGAGACACGGCCCAGACUCCUACGGGAGGCAGCAGUGGGGAAUUUUGGACAAUGGGCGCAAGCCUGAUCCAGCAAUGCCGCGUGCAGGAGGAAGGCCUUCGGGUUGUAAACUGCUUUUGUACGGAACGAAACGGCUCUGGUUAAUACCCGGGGCUAAUGACGGUACCGGAAGAAUAAGCACCGGCUAACUACGUG